AGAGUUUGAUCCUGGCUCAGGACGAACGCUGGCGGCGUGCUUAAUACAUGCAAGUCGAGCGAGGUUAUCUAUUCAAAGUCCUUCGGGGCGGCGAAUUUUUAACCUAGCGGCGGACGGGUGAGUAACGCGUGGGCAACCUGCCCUAAAGCCCGGGAUAACAGUGGGAAACUACUGCUAAUACCGGAUGGUCUCCUUUUGUGGCAUCAUAAAAGGAGUAAAGGUUACGCUUUAGGAUGGGCCCGCGUCCCAUUAGCUAGUUGGUGAGGUAACAGCUCACCAAGGCGACGAUGGGUAGCCGGCCUGAGAGGGUGGACGGCCACACUGGGACUGAGACACGGCCCAGACUCCUACGGGAGGCAGCAGUAGGGAAUAUUGCGCAAUGGAGGAAACUCUGACGCAGCGACGCCGCGUGAGCGAUGAAGGUCUUCGGAUCGUAAAGCUCUGUCCUCAGGGAAGAAGGUCAUUUGACUUGACGGUACCUGUGGAGGAAGCCCCGGCUAACUACGUGCCAGCAGCCGCGGUAAUACGUAGGGGGCAAGCGUUGUCCGGAAUUAUUGGGCGUAAAGGGCAUGUAGGCGGAUUUGCAAGCUUGAUGUGAAAUCCCGCAGCUUAACUGCGGAACUGCAUUGAGAACUGCAAGACUAGAGUUACUGAGGGGAAACUAGAAUUCCAAGUGUAGGGGUGAAAUCUGUAGAUAUUUGGAAGAAUACCAAUGGCGAAGGCAAGUUUCUGGCAGAUAACUGACGCUGAGGUGCGAAGGUGCGGGGAGCAAACAGGAUUAGAUACCCUGGUAGUCCACGCCGUAAA
rnacentral:rRNA from 1 species